rnacentral:rRNA from 1 species
GGAAUCUUCGGCAAUGGGGGCAACCCUGACCGAGCAACGCCGCGUGAGUGAAGAAGGUUUUCGGAUCGUAAAGCUCUGUUGUAAGUCAAGAACGGGUGUGAGAGUGGAAAGUUCACACUGUGACGGUAGCUUACCAGAAAGGGACGGCUAACUACGUGCCAGCAGCCGCGGUAAUACGUAGGUCCCGAGCGUUGUCCGGAUUUAUUGGGCGUAAAGCGAGCGCAGGCGGUUUGAUAAGUCUGAAGUUAAAGGCUGUGGCUCAACCAUAGUUCGCUUUGGAAACUGUCAAACUUNAGUGCAGAAGGGGAGAGUGGAAUUCCAUGUGUAGCGGUGAAAUGCGUAGAUAUAUGGAGGAACACCGGUGGCGAAAGCGGCUCCCUGGUCUGUAACUGACGCUGAGGCUCGAAAAGCGUGGGGAGCGAACAGGA